GAUGAAGAACGUAGCGAAAUGCGAUAAGUAAUGUGAAUUGCAGAAUUCAGUGAAUCAUCGAAUCUUUGAACGCACAUUGCGCCCCUUGGUAUUCCGAGGGGCAUGCCUGUUCGAGCGUCAUUAUAACCCCUCAAGCUCAGCUUGGUGUUGGGGCCUGCUGCACUGGCAGCCCUUAAAAUCAGUGGCGGCUCCAUCUGGCUCUAAGCGUAGUAAUUCUUCUCGCUAUGGAGUCCUGGUGGAUGCUUGCCAUCAACCCCCAAUUUUUCUAUGGUUGACCUCGGAUCAGGUAGGGAUACCCGCUGAACUUAAGCUUAUCAAUAAGCGGAGGA
rnacentral:misc_RNA from 1 species